UAAAAAAAAAAACCUAGACUACACAAAAAAAAAAGCUUCAGCCGUUUUUUUAGGAUUUGAAACCCUAGGACCCCUUCUUCUUCUUCCUUAAAACUUAACCCUAGAGAAUCUCCAAAAGAAGAACCCAACUGCACCAUCACGGUCGUACACCACCAUAACAGCACCUUCUCACCUCUUCUUCUUCUUCUUCAUACCACUAAGCGUCAACCACCAUCAGCCGCCCAUACCCAAACCUAGCGACCUCGCUAUCGCCAACCAUCCUCCAUAGCUACCGAUUUUCAUCACCACUACAAGCGAGAAACACACAUACAUACAAGUACAAGAACAAAAAAAAUGAACACAAACUAGUCGUCCACCCCUCGUCUCUGCCAACAAUUGCCAAAACUGCCAAAACUACCGGAAUCUGGCGAGUCCAGCUAACUGGCCAUACAGAGGAUCCCACCGAAACACUUUUGUUAAACUCUUGUUUUUUAUCAGUGGAAAAGUAGAGAAGUGCUUUGAGUCAGCUCUAAUAAUCUCAAAGACUCGAGCAGCAAAGCACGUCAGUGACGCUUCAUAUAAACCUAGGCGACAUCAAGUGCGAAAUCUUCUCUGACGAAGUCCCUAGGGAUAUUGAGCUGAGGUUACUGAAAUCGUCGUUGUCCGGGAAGAUUCAUGUUUCUGUCAAGUUGUCGUUUUAAGUUUUCCGGUGUUGCAUUUUCAGAUUUCAUUUGGCAAAAAUAUACCUAAGAUGAAAGGUCCUGCAAAAUUUGUAAGCGUGUCAAGGAAAAUCAUACAAAAUACCCCGAGGGUUGAUAGUUAAUUGAACCUACCGUACAUGAGGUGGAUACUUAAAUGAGAGAAGCUGGCAAUCACCUUAAUGAUGGUAAAAGAAAGUGUGAAGUAUUCUGGCUCAUAUUCAAGAUUGCACAUUAGAGGAGCCCAUUUUUGUCUUAUGGGUCUUUCUGGCAUUUGCCUGGACUAAGUGCUGAGGUGCAGUGUUGCAUGCAUAAUGUAGAUGUUGCUUUGUAGUAGAGGAAGUUGAUAUGGGAGCACAUUCUUGUGAUGACUUGAUAUGUCAUCUUAUAUUUUAGAACCUAAUUUUGUGUUUUGAAGCCUUAAAUACCUUAUUUUGACCCUCCUCGAUUUGCGUGCACAUUCCGAUCAUUUUUAUGUGUUUUUGGUGAUAAUUGAGUAUUGAUUCAAAGUUGAGAUUUGGUAUUAUGGAACCGUUGUUGAAGUAAGUCUUGUUAUUGUUAUUUUAUCUCCUGUUGUUACUUGUUCAUUGUUAUAUGGUAAGGGAGAGUGUUAAUGUAUGAAGGGUGAUGUCGUGUCAUUUCUAUUGAUUUAUACUGUGAGUGUGAGUAAAAGCAUGAAGGGUGGUACCAUGUAGUAUCAUUGUUUCAUUGUGAGGUUGAGGGUAAAAGCACGAAGAGUGAUGCCAUGCAAUUUUCUUCAUUGUGCUUAAUUGUUUUUACUGGUUAAAGGCAUAUUGACUAUUCUGGUCAUCAUUUCCGCUAUAUUUCUCGUAUCCUGUACCCUUAGCAUGUCCCCCUCCCAAUAGUACAUGAUUAGU